rnacentral:rRNA from 1 species
AUUGAACGCUGGCGGCAUGCUUUACACAUGCAAGUCGAACGGUAACAGGCCUUCGGGUGCUGACGAGUGGCGAACGGGUGAGUAAUGCAUCGGAACGUACCCAGAGGUGGGGGAUAACGCAGCGAAAGCUGUGCUAAUACCGCAUGUGAUCUGAGGAUGAAAGCGGGGGACCGAGCAGCAAUGUUUGGCCUCGCGCCUUUGGAGCGGCCGAUGUCGGAUUAGCUAGUUGGUGGGGUAAAGGCCUACCAAGGCGACGAUCCGUAGCUGGUCUGAGUGGACGGCCGGCCACACUGGGACUGAGACACGGCCAAGGCUCCUACGGGAGGGAGCAGUGGGGAAUUUUGGACAAUGGGCGCAAGCCUGAUCCAGCAAUGCCGCGUGCGGGAAGAAGGCCUUCGGGUUGUAAACCGCUUUUGGCAGGAACGAAACGGUGUCCGCUAAUACCGGGCGCUAAUGACGGUACCUGCAGAAUAAGCACCGGCUAACUACGUG